rnacentral:rRNA from 1 species
UCUGGUGCUUCUAGCGAGAGGGUAAUACCCGUUCCCAUCCCGAACACGGAAGUCAAGCCUCUCAGCGCCGAUGGUACUUGGGCAUAAGCCCUGGGAGAGUAGGCCAGCGC